rnacentral:rRNA from 1 species
AUUGAACGCUGGCGGCAUGCCUAACACAUGCAAGUCGAACGGAAACGAUGGAAGCUUGCUUCCAGGCGUCGAGUGGCGGACGGGUGAGUAAUACUUAGGAAUCUGCCCAUUAGUGGGGGACAACUCGGGGAAACUCGAGCUAAUACCGCAUACGCCCUACGGGGGAAAGCGGAGGACUCUUCGGAGCUUCGCGCUAUUGGAUGAGCCUAAGCCGGAUUAGCUAGUUGGUAGGGUAAGAGCCUACCAAGGCGACGAUCCGUAGCUGGUCUGAGAGGACGAUCAGCCACACUGGGACUGAGACACGGCCCAG